rnacentral:rRNA from 1 species
GUGACCUCAAAUCAGGUAGGACUACCCGCUGAACUUAAGCAUAUCAAUAAGCGGAGGAAAAGAAACUAACAAGGAUUCCCCUAGUAACUGCGAGUGAAGCGGGAAAAGCUCAAAUUUAAAAUCUGUCAGUCUUUGGCUGUCCGAAUUGUAAUCUAGAGAAGUGUUAUCCGCGCUGGACCGUGUACAAGUCUCCUGGAAUGGAGCGUCAUAGAGGGUGAGAAUCCCGUCUUUGACACKGACUGCCAGGGCUUUGUGAUGCGCUCUCAAAGAGUCGAGUUGUUUGGGAAUGCAGCUCAAAAUGGGUGGUAAAUUCCAUCUAAAGCUAAAUAUUGGCGAGAGACCGAUAGCGAACAAGUACCGUGAGGGAA